AUUGAACGCUCGCGGGAUGCUUUACACAUGCAAGUCGAACGGCAGCGCGGACUUCGGUCUGGCGGCGAGUGGCGAACGGGUGAGUAAUGUAUCGGAACGUGCCAAGAACGGGGGGAAAACACGCGAAAGCGGAGGUAAUACCGCAAAAGCCCUAACGGGGAAAGCAAGGGGACGUAAGACCUUUGAACAAUGGGGGGGCCGGAUAUCGGAUUAGCUAGUUGGUGAGGUAACGGCUAACCAAGGCGACGAUCCGUAGCUGGUUUGAGAGGACGACCAGCCACACUGGGACUGAGACACGGCCCAGACUCCUACGGGAGGCAGCAGUGGGGAAUUUUGGACAAUGGGGGCAACCCUGAUCCAGCCAUCCCGCGUGUGCGAUGAAGGCCUUCGGGUUGUAAAGCACUUUUGGCAGGAAAGAAACGUCGCGGGCUAAUACCCCGUGGAACUGACGGUACCUGCAGAAUAAGCACCGGCUAACUACGUG
rnacentral:rRNA from 1 species